CGAUUCGUCUAGCUUUGCUCUAGCAGCCACGCCGUCGAAUCCGCUGUGGGAGAGGCCGUGAUGGCGAGCAGCCACGCCAGAGGACGCCCCUGUGGUUGUGCUCUGCGUGUCGCGCUCGGACCUGGCAGCCGCGGAGGGCGCCGUUGGCCACUGGGCCUUGUGCAAGCAGCAUUUACAGGGGCGCCCCGCUCUGUGGUUCUGUGCAGAGGCUCCGGCAGUCGAUCGCCGCGGACGCGCGUUCGAGGGCCGGGAAGCCUUGCCUGACGUCACCGCCUUGCUUCAGCACCAGGCUGAACUAUGCACCGCGCAGCCGCCGUGCGGAGGGGUGCCGACCGCUGCGCUAUGAGUGGCCAUGGCGUGUGGAGAUGGGCCGGGCGCUGCCGCAAGCUGGGCAUCGUUGGCUGUUGGCCACCGCCAUCGCCUCUGCCGUUCGCGAGAAGCCGCGAUUCUGGCCCGGGGAAAGCGGCGAUGGAACGCCGGGCGUCGCCGGAGGGCGUCAGUCGGGCGCCGCCGCACUGCUGCUACUGUGCGUAGGCACACCGUAACCGAGGGCCAUGACGGCGUUGAGGCUCAAGGCCGGCCGUCGCAGAGGAGGGCACCGUGCGCCGGGCCAUGACGGCGUUGAGGCUCAAGGCCGGCCGUCGCAGAGGAGGGCACCGUGCGCCGGGGCCAUGCGCCGGCUCUGUUCAAGGAGAAGAAGGGAAGGAGGGGGCUGACGCGGCUCGCUGCGGUCGGAGAAACCGGGCCGUAGUCGCAUCCGUCACGCCGCCCGCCUCCCGUGAUGCAGUCGCGUCCAGCCGCUGCCACCGCAUCACGGAGUGAGGCCGCGACGCCACGCGCGUGCCUGCGCUCGCUGCCGGUCGAGAAGACCAUGCACACCGCCGUGUCGCUACACGCGCCUUGCCGGCAGGAGGGAGCGCUUUUGCCCGUUCGUUCUCUCCUUCUCGUCGGAAUCGCUCUCGCCGGAGAACAGUGCUGAUAACGUGUUUAGAAUUGAGAUCGAGAAAGACAGAGACAAUUGAAU
rnacentral:rRNA from 1 species